rnacentral:tRNA from 1 species
GGGGAUUUAGCUCAGUGGCAUAAGCACCUGCCUUGCAAGCAGGGGGUCGUGAGUUCAAUCCCUG